GCAGCCCUUGAUUCACCACACGUGAUAGAACUGCCUUCAACACUGUUUCAGUUUACCUUCUUAUAUCCUUGCAGCAUAUUGCCAAAUUCCCUGUGAUGAAGCAAUGUCAGCCAUGAAACCUGGAGCAUGGCCCAGUGGCUUCACAAUCAACACAGGGAGACAUUUAGCCACCAGUGGCCACAGUUCAACUCCAGGAAGUGGAUUCAGCUCUGCUGCCUCAGUGCACAUCUGAUGAUAUUAAGCAACGUCUACUUGUUCACAUAGAAGGAAAUCCAGUUAUGAUUGUCUCAUUUAAAGAAAGCCAACAUUCCUGACAGCAACAUAAAUUUCAGGCAGCAAAUGUUUAGAAGAAGGUGUCAAGAAAUUAUUAGGCCAACACACCUCCAUAUCUGCAGAACAUUUUUCCUCUACCCUAGUUUGAUAGUCCUCUCUGCCACCUCCAUCAUUGUGAGUUCCUGAACAUUUUCAAUUUCAGAGGUGCCAUCACACAUAUCCUUCUUCUUCUAUCUUUAAUUGUCUCUUUUAUUUUUUGUCAUGGUACUUUUAUCUCAUUGUUUAGCAUGACAUUAGUAAGCAUAUUUGUGUAACAUGUUUGCAUGCAAUUCUAUGAAUUUUUAUUUUUCAUGAUCUACAUAUUCAAUCUCUAACUCUAAUCCUACUUAAUAUUUGCUACUAACCAUUACAUUACUGCUAAAACUAAACCUAUUGUAACAAAAAUGCAAUUUGAAUAAUGUGAGGUUUUAUGUAGUUUGAUUUGCAUCUUCAAUUGUCAAUGGUAUGUGUUAUACAACAGGUCAUAUAUUCAUUAUAAUACAUAUUCAUGAAUUUUCAACUUUAUAAAAUGCAUAACUACAUGACUCUCAUUACAGUAUACCCUGUGUCACAACAUGUAAUUUUAUUUUUAUUUUUUUAAGAGAGAGAGAGAAGAAAGAGAGAGAGAGAGAGAGAGAGAGAGAGAGAGAGAGAGAGUUUUUCUAAUAUUUACUUUUCAGUUUUAGGUGGACACAACAUCUUUAUUUUAUUUUAUGUGGUACUGAGGAUUGAACCCAGUGCCCUGCACAUGCCAGGCAAGCAGGUUUCCACUUGAGCCACAUAUUUUUAUAUGCAUAUAUAUUGUCAUACAUAUUAUCACAUGUAUAUUCUAAUGAAUGUUCCAAUUUGAAAUAUACAAAUUCAUUCCCUAAGCCAAACACUAUCCCUAAAAGUUGAAUGAUAUGAAAAUUAAACCUUAAGUGACAUCUAUACCUGAAGAAAUAUUUACAUGAAGCAAUGUAGAAUAAAAUGAAUAUUUAUGUGUACUGUGAAUUAUAUAUUUCAAGUAAAAAUGGCAUAUUUGUCUGUAUAUUACUGUACACUUAUAUAUAUAAUAUAUGUAUCCAUCCACAAAUUACAAAAUAUUUAAUAUAUGAGUCACAUUGUACUCUACUUGAUUCUAUACAUGUAUUUUCAUCUAGCUUUAAUGCAAACUCUCACAUGGACUUUUUCAGGAAUAUUCAUAUUUCCUUAUGUACAAUUCAUUCCCUCAUCUUAACCCUAAAACUUUAAAUAUUUGUUACUAACCCUAAUACUACUAUUGUAAGUAUAACUAAUUUAACAUAAAUGCAUGUGCA
rnacentral:lncRNA from 1 species